UCCCACGAAGCACAACUGGCAGUGCGGCUCGCUGUUAACGAGAUGGGUGCUGGUUCGAGUCCAGCCGUGGGAG
rnacentral:tRNA from 1 species